rnacentral:sRNA from 1 species
UGUGUGUGUGUGCUUGAUGGAGGUAUUCAAUGACUGACGGUUCUGUCAGAAUUGCAUAGGAAGUGGUAAAGGCAGCCGGAGGAGGGCCAGCUCUCUAUGAGGAUUUAUGAGUAGUAUCAUUUAGGACUCUUUGGUAGCAAGUGAGAGACUCUGUUCCACCUCUGCCAACCUAAGCAUACAGGAACCUGUUUCCAUGGUGAUAGCCUCAUGAAUCCAAGAAAGGGCUGGCCAAGCAGGUUUUAAGAUAGAGAAACUUGUGAGAGCUUGGGGACCUUGGUGGCCUUCUCUUAUCCUUAUGUAUCUCCUCAAAGGUGAGAGACCGAGGGCUAAGCUGCUGGUGCCAGGUGCCCAUCAUCCAUCAGCUGCGAUCACAAGCGUCUUGGCUGGCAUUCCCACAGAGGCGGGGGAUGGGAGAGGGCUGGUUUCUGAAGGAAAGCUUGCUGCUGCUUCUGGAGGCAGAGGAAUGGGCACUGGGCAGGCGAACCGGAGGGGCACAUACCAUGGCACCUGGAUCUGCUAGCUAACUGUUGCUGUUUCCCCGGCCCUAUCCCACCACACCCAGCUGCACUGUUUUCCAGAGAAAUGGUGAGAAGACUGUUUGCACAAACAGCUAUGGAACAUUUCUCAAAGGACAAGUAGACCGUGCUCCUCCAAAGAGAGAAUCGGUGGGGUUUUACCUCUUCUGACCCAAGAGAACAAAGCUUUGGCUCGGAGGAAUAAAAAACAAAAUCAGAUGCUUAUAUAAUGCCUGUCCGAUGCCAGCUGACAUCCUAAUGCAGAUUCCAUGUACUAAGUCACAGCAGUCCCCUGUGCUAGGUGUUGCUAUUAUCCCCACCCCUACCACUUCUAGAAAGGACUAUUAUUCUUCCCCCUUUAGUCACAGAAAAGGAAGUACAGUCAGAAGAAGCUUGGUUCAGGGCCACCCUAGCUAGUGAGACUGGUUCUGGGCUCUAACCUGAGACUUCUGACUGGCAUCCACAGAGUUAGCUGCCUCUCUGAUGAGCCACAGGGAACUGGAUAUACUGUGUGUUGCUUUGGACGCCAACAGUACCAGAGCCUUAAGGCAUUGCUAUUGAACUACAAUUCCCAGCAUGCAUCUGAGAGAGCUAUUCCCCUUAACUCCUUCUUCACCAAAAACUCCCUCACGGCCUUGUAUAAAGUCAUUUUUCAAUGACAAAAUUCAACCUCUCUAUGGAAUGCCUGUGCAAUUGCAUGAAUGUAGUUGUGGGUGGGGUGAGUUUCUAGGUUAAAAUACCUUUUGCAUUUCCAGUGUCCAAAAGAAGACAUGAGAGAUUUAGCACAAUGAAGAUCUGCAAGCUUCAAAAUAUGCACUGUGGAAACUCAACACGGGUCUCAAACUUAGCUAAACUUUGGAAUCACACGAGAAAAUCUGAAAGCUCAUAAUACCUAUGUCACAGAGAGGUUAUAAUUUAGUUGUUGUUGUUUUGAGACAGGGUCUCACUAUUUAUCUCUGGCUGUCCUGGUACUCACAGCUGGCCUUGAACUCACAGAGAUCUACUUACCUCUACCUCUCAAGUGCUUGGCUUAUAGGUGUGCUAUCAUGCUAAGCUAUAACUUGCUUUUUGUUUUGUUUUGAUUUUUAAAGUCUACCCACUGGAACUUUUGAGGGAAUCCUCCAAUGAACUCUAAGGGAUCCUGCAGAAGCACACCUCUCUGAUACCUAGGGAAGUGUCAGGGUUGGCCAAGAGGCAGACAUGUUGAACAAGGAGAAACAGCCUCUUCUGAAGAAAUAGGUCUCCAUGCACCGCAGUGGUUUCCUGGAAUAAAGCUGAGGAAAGGUGAUCUCACCCCCGUCUACAUGGAGGAAGUUGUGCGAGUAUGGGGCUUCCACGAGAUGUUUCUUCACUGAUGGAAGGGAUUUAAUGUGUGCUUCCCUGGGAUUGCCACAGCAAAGAAAUGAUUUUUACAAGACCUUGCUCAUGACCUGCCUCCUGUUAUCCAAUGUCUCCUCACCGAAUAUAAGAGCCUCCUCCUGAAUCUGUCAGAAGGAUCUUGGAAGGAAAGGAUGAGAGAGAAAAACAGGCCUUCAGAGCUGGAGAACGGAUAUGAUUAUCUAUAACCCAGAUCAAGACCAGCUCCUCCAUUGAUUCUCAGCUUUGUGGAUAAGACUAAGUGAAGACAGUGCCCACUGAGCCCUGGGCCUGUGUUCCUGGGACUCUCGUUGCAGAACAGGUCCAUGACGGUGUUAGAACCUUCAGUGUCCCUGCCUUCCUGUAUCUUGGGUGUCCACAUUACCUGAUUGUUGAUGAACCUACAUGAUGAAGGUUGCUCAUGUUCUGGGUUUCCUGUUCCUGUCUUAGGUCAGUUUCCCUUUUCUCCACGUUCAUCUUCCUUUCCAUUUCCACGGUUCUGCUUAAGUGUUAGCCCCUUGAACUUGAGCACAGGAGUCCCAGGUUUUAUGGGAGGGAGAAUACUGAAGCAGGAUUCUGAGGAUGGGGUAAGUUGGAUGCUGUACAGAGUAGACUGGAUGCUGCAUCUGCUAAUCUAAUCAUAGACAUGCUUGGAGGACAAAGGGGCUUUAUGUCAGUUUGUGAGGGAGGGGAGAGAGAGAGAGAGCAAGGAGAGAGAGAGAGAGAGAGAGAGAGAGAGAGAGAGAGAGAGAGGCGUUUAAGCUAUUAAACUAUUAGGAUUUUGGGACUGACUAAUCUUUCUGGUUUCUUCUGUGAACUGUAACUAAUUGACAGUUAACCAUUCUAGACUCUGCUUCUAGAACUCUGAGUCCUAUUCGCAAGACAAGUAGCUAUGAAGAGCAAGACAAAGUGUCCCCCAUCAGCAAAUUAAAAUGUCAGAGUCACGGUUUAAACAGCAAGACACGUGUGGGGCAUGCCCACGAAGUCGACAAAUUCAAACAACUUUAGUCUUCUUCCUCAGCUCCUUCCUCCUCAUGGUGGUGCACUGAAGUCUUGCUGUAAUUGCACGAAGAGUGCCACUGUGUGGGGGAGCAUUCUGGAAGAGGCUGGGAGAAGGCAGGGGAGCCAGGCAGGCAGAGUGGUUCCUGCCCUCAGGGAGCUUUGACGCUGUAGCCAGAAGCUUUGAUUGUGUUCUAAGAAUUCUCUUUGCAGGCUCCUGGCUGCAUUAGGAGGAACUCGAAAGCUGAUUUAAAAUAAUUUCCUACCAAGGGAACAGAGUGGGAAUCCGGAUGGAUGGAGAAUUGUUAAUUUGACAUUUAAGAUUGAGGGACAAGUGGGUAUUUGUCUCAUCCCCUCGGGUUUUUUUUCUCCGUGGGAGAGAAGCAGCCAGCCUCACUGAUUGUCAAGUGUUAAUGGGAACCCUUCCAUUUUUCCCUAUUGAAAACAUGUAAUUUAAUGUGAAGCUUCUAUUGGUGGGCCGUGAGCAGGCAGAAUUCUCAGGAUAAUGAACUUGAUUUUCCACUUGAAAUGCAAUCCGCAUUCACGAAUUAUCUUUUUAUAAGGGAGACAUGGAGCAAAGUGGCUCACCCAUACAUCUCAGUUGACCUCACAAACACCUCUGAAGAGAGCGUCAUUACCUAUCUUUUAUAGACAACAAGGGGAAAUGGUAGCCUGGGGCUCUGGACUGUGCCAGUUCACUUCUGGUAGAUGAACAACUUGUUAUUUCGUUUCCCUUGGUCGAAUUGUUAUAAACAUUGCAACAUUAACACCUGCAUGACAUUUGCACGACUCAGCGCUUCGCAGCCUGGUCACGUGUCUUCUGUGGCUACUCUGCUAACCCUGUGUGCUUCAUCUGUAACAAUGGGUAAGCCCAGAUCUCUGCAGCCCAGCUUGCUUUUGUCCUAGACUAAAUCGAUAGCAAUCCAGCCUCCAGAAGUCUAAUCUAUUUCUUUAUUUGCAGAGUCUCUCUGGGGUGACACCCUUGGCCAGAGAAGACAACACUGGCACUCUCCUGUCAGAGUCCGAAAGCUCAAGAUGUAGAUGCUGUUACCACCUUGCCUGGGGCUUCCUGCUACUUGGCUGUCUUGAGUCAACAAUAGCCAAGGGGACAGAAGAAAGAGAGAAAAGUUAUAUCUAUAUGUUUGAACAGUUUGAUCCCUAAUGGAAUGGACGCUGGAGAUGAGGCAAACACAGCCCAGAGAGAACCACCAUUGUGACGCAUUAGAGAAGCACCCAUGACGAUCAAUCACUGCUGAUGGCCUGGACCGCCAGCAUCAAUACUCUAGCACUCUGGAGACUUGGAAAGUAAAACAAAGGUUGCUUGAACGCAAACACUCUGCCACAGCGUUUUAUCUGAUAGUGGGGGUGCGCGCUCCACUCAGUGACUGACAGGCAAGUAACAUAUACAGUGUGCACACGUUGGAUGGAGGGACAUAUCCCACAACCGGAUGGAGCCAGUGAAUGAUACGAGGACAUGAUUGCCCUAAGGUAUGGCUGAGGAGAAGGUUUUAAUGUAGACGUGAGGCAGAGUACGGCCAGAGGCAUCUGGGAGAGUUCAGAUCAAACCAGGCCAUAAGAGGAAAAAACAAGGGGUGGAGGUGAGAGGGAAAAAGAAGAGUGGGGACAAUCAGACUAAGAGAACCAAGAGCAAGUCAAGAGAGACAGAACAACCAAGAGGGGCUGAAAUGCCAGGGUUCUAUAGGAGAGAGAAGCUGGCAGGGAAGGGAGUCAAGCCCCAGGACUAUAGAGGUUUAGGGUAGCGGUAUAGUGAGAAGAGCUGAGAAGAGCCAAGACUCUGUAACUGGGACUUACAAUACUGAGAGAACCCAGAGGUCAGCAUGUGCUUUGGUUUGCUGCCAUUUGUCCCUGAGUUUCUCUGGGACCUGACAGCCAGGUAGGCUGAGGUUUUAUUACACUACUCACCAUGAUGAACAAUUUAGAACUCAUCAAUUAUUCAUGUCUGGGAUUUUUCCAUUUAACAUUUUGUGCAGCAAGUUGUGUAGGUAAGUAAAUCAUGGACAACAGAACUCCGGAGGCUGCAGCGGGAGAACUCCUGAGUGCCUAUUAAAUGACUUGGUUCUGGUUCCAAUGGCGGAGGUUCUGAAGUGGGCACUGCCAGCACCUACUGAAUUCUUACCAGCUCCGAGCGACUCUAACGUGGGUGUUCUCAGAACCACAUUUUGAGAAACAGUCCUCCGUAUUGACAUAAUUGGCAGCAUCCUUCCUUUAAACACUUCCCUUUGGUUGCUAUGAUACACCCCUCCUCCCCAAGUUCUGUGGGCUCUCUAAUUCUGUUCUCCAUCUCCCACUUCCUCUCCAGCCUGUACCACUGUCCCCAGACUCUCUGCUCCUUCCUCCGCUGUCUGUCCCCUGGGGCAUGGCUCCAACUUGGGCAGAUGGUCCAACCUUGCCCUGGUGAGUGCCAGCCUCCUGGUGAGAUCCGUGGAUUUUGGAACAGAGUUGUACUUCAUUCAGCCUGGGUCCAGGACUUAGCUGUGAAGAAGGUGAUAUUGACGCUGCUGCUCCAAUCACCCCCACCCUGCUCUGGGCCUUUCCUCUUCCAUUAAGAUCUCCUGCUUUGCAGUUUUCUAAUCAAAUUAGUUCCGAGGGAAGAGCUGAUCUGUUUACACGGUCACACUAAUGUGCCAACUCUCCCAGUCACUGGCAUUUGCAAAGCCUUUUUCCGUCUUUGUGGUUUCAACCCUGUUAUUUCAGGCUUCCCUUAGCAGAUAGGGUGAUUCAGAAGGGCACGACCAAGGGAUAGGGCGAGCUGAUUUGAGAAGGGCUGGCUCUUCUCUUCUUCGACAUUUCUAGGAGCGUAGACUGAAAACUAGCCUGUCAAACGGCUGGGAGGGCAGGACUUGGACCUUCUAGGUCUUGGGCAAGGAUAAGCAAUAACUGCAGUCACAAUAGGCCAGACCCUAGAAGCACGGAGGAUAAGGACAGACUACAGAGCUGCAAUUGGGCUUACUUCCUGCCACGCCUACCCAUGGCCACGCCUACCCAUAGCCACUCCUACCCAUAUACUUCUAAGAGCUCCUCUUCACUGGUCAGGUCUCAUCUUAAAAGUUCUCUCUUGGGAAUAAAUAGCCUGACCUGGCCGCCAGGUUGUGGUCCCUUUUUGUGAUCCUGUGUUAGCAACCGCUUGCCUUUGUUGUAUUUAUCACAGGUUGUAAUUAUUUGAUUUCCUUCUUCCUGUCUCCUUCUGGAGUUAAGUAAGGCUCCAGGCGGGUGAGACCAGGCUGCCUCACACCCCUUCUAUGCAGGUUCAAAACAGAGAUCAACAGGAAGCCGGAAGGACAGCAUGAACAAGCCCUACCACCCUGCAGUCCCCGAGCUGAAGCAAACUGUCCUCAAUAGGCAUGUGGUGCAGAAAGGCAGAAAACUGACAGUAAUAUAAAUGAUUCUUGUAUGUAAAACUGCCAAUAGAUGUUUGCCCAGUAGAGGGGGCAAUUGGCGCUUUUCCUGCGACUAUCAAGAUCUGAAUGCGCCAUAGUUUUCCUGAGGUCCCGUGUGCUCUUAGAAUUCUCCUUUGAGCCAGUCAGAACAUCUUACUGACUGCCUCAUUAGUUGGUAAAAUAACAUCUCUGACAAUCUCUGACAUAUUAGUUUCAUAUUUGUACCUGAGUCAAAUGUUUAGCUUCUUAAAAAUAUUUUUUUCAUUCGAACUUCAUGGAAACCAAGUAUUUUGUGCAUCAAAAGAUACUAUCAGGAAAAUGAAAAGUCCCCCUACAAAUGGAGGAAAAAAAACCCAACCCACACACAAAUCACAUCUAGAGAAUAAAGAACUAAACUUCAGCAAUACCGACAGGAGCAGUGACAAACAAACACAAACAAAACAACAACAAUAACAAAACCAAUUAAAAAUGGUCAAAGGCUUCAAUUAGGCAGCUCUCUAAAGAAAAUACAAAAGCACAUGUGAAUGUCACCAGAGUUGUUAGGUCAAAGCCUGAGCUCUCCUGGCAUAGCGGAAGGACCACAGGACAAAGGCAAGCUGGCAGAGGAUAGACAAAGACUGUCCCCAUGUAACUUCACAUAACUAACAUCAGUCUGCAGAAAAGCCCUUGACAUAGGAGCCAGGUAGAUGGUUGCUGUGUAACCAUAAAGGUUACUCACCUUGUGACCCCGUGCUUUGGUUUGAUUUGUUUCCCCCUCACUACUCUAGCCACACCUAUGCGAAGGAGCAUUUUCCCUCCAGUCUGAUUCUGUCUCUAACCAUGUGUCCCCGGUGGACUCCUUUGACACAGUAUAAAAGCCUGAAAUUGGGUGCCCUCAGAACUCAGAUCUACAGUCUGGCAUGAAAAUUCUCUCUCUCUCUCUCUCUCUCUCUCUCUCUCUCUCUCUCUCUCUCUCUCUCUCCCCUUCCUUCCCUAUUCCUCCCUCCCUACUUCUCCAUCUGUCCUUGAUAAUUCUACUCCUAGAUGUAAAUACAGGAGACUGAAAGCAGGGAUUUGACAGAUGUUUGAGCAUGGCCAUAGCAGCAUUAGUAACAGCAGCCAAUGUUGAAGUAAUCUGAAGCCAGGUAAGCCAGGUAGAUAUCUAUGAUCUUAUUACGAAGCUGAGGUAGGACUAUCAAGAGUCAAGGCCAGCCUAGAGAUCCUGUCACACACACACACACACACACACACACACACACACACACACACACACACACACACACGGGGGGGGGCGCAUGAUAGAGAGAAUCAACCAGCAGAUAAUGAAUGAAUGAAUGAAAUAUUGCAUAUAAAUACAGUGGGGGAUGCUAUUCAACCACUUAGAGGAAUAAAAUGCCAAUAUAUGCUACAAAUGAAUGGACUUUGUGUUAAUUCGGGUUUCCAUUCUGUGAUGAAACAUCAUGACCAAAACCAGCUUGAGGUGGGAAGGGUUUAUUCUGUUUACACUUCCAGGUAACAGUCCAUCACUAAUGGGAGUCCGGGAGGUACCUUAAGGGCAGAUGCUGAAGGCGCAGGAGCUGAUGCAGAGGCCGUGAAGGGGGGCUUCUUACUGGCUUGUUCCUCAUGGCUUGC